rnacentral:rRNA from 1 species
UACGUAGGGAGCGAGCGUUGUCCGGAUUCAUUGGGCGUAAAGAGCUCGUAGGCGGCUUGAUAAGUCGGAUGUGAAACCUCCAGGCUCAACCUGGAGCCGCCAUCCGAUACUGUCAUAGCUAGAGUCCGGUAGGGGCCCACGGAACUCCUGGUGUAGCGGUGAAAUGCGCAGAUAUCAGGAAGAACACCGGUGGCGAAGGCGGUGGGCUGGGCCGGCACUGACGCUGAGGAGCGAAAGCGUGGGGAGCGAACAGG